UAUGAAUUUAAACAUGGCUAUUUAAGAAAGGUUCAUAUUUUAAUAGCAAAAUUUAUCUGAAACCAAGUUUCCCUGGUUUGUUUAUUUGGCCUGGCAAGAGCAACAGCCACAAGGCAGACAUAUGCAAGGGACUAUGCGGAGGCCGUGGAGCAGGAGUAAUUCAGCAGAGGCAUAGCUCUCAGAUGGCUGAUGCAAUAAGUGAAGCACAAGAGAAGUACAGAAGACAGACCGCAGAUGAUGGGAUGAGAUGAUCAAAAAUUUGAAACAACCAGUCAUAUUUGGAAUUAUUCAAUGAUUCAAUCAUUUAAUGAUGAACAAUCUGAAACUUGGUAUGCGUGUUAGCCAAUGAAGAGACAGAGCAG